rnacentral:rRNA from 1 species
UAAACUAGGAUUAGAUACCCUAUUAUUUAAAAUGUAAAUUUUUAUGCUUGAGUAGUAGUAGUUAUGUGCUUGAAAUUUAAAGAAUUUGGCGGUAUUUUAGUCUAUUCAGAGGAACCUGUCCUAUAAUUGAUAUUCCACGAUUAAUUAUACUUAUUUUAAAAGUUUGUAUAUCGUCGUAAAUUGAGUGUUCUUAAAGGUUAGAUAAUAUUCAAAAUUUAAAAUUAUAAAGGAAAUCAGAUCAAGGUGCAGCAUAUAGAUAAGUAGAGAUGGGUUACAAUAAAUUUAUUUAUAUAGUUAAAUUAAUUAACAUUAAUUUUUAAAGUGGAUUUGAGUGUAAUAUAAUUAAGUUUAAUUAUAUGAUUAUAGCUCUAUAAUAUGUACAUAUUGCCCGUCGCUCCCAUUACAAGGUGGGAUAAGUCGUAACAUAGUAGGUGUACUGGAAAGUGUACCUAGAUAGUCAAAUUAUAGCUUAUAAUUAAGCAUUUUAUUUACAUUAAAAAGUUAAUUGUGUAAGUCAAUUUAAUUUGAUAAGAGAUUAUUUAUAUUUUUAUUUAAAAAAAAUAUUUUUUUUAUUUAGUUUUAAUUUUGAAUAAUAAUAUUAAAAUUAUAGUAAAUUUGUAUAGAGAUAGGUCAUUGGUAUAUUAAUUGAAUUUAAUAAGAAGAAAAAAUUGUUUAUUGUACCUUGUGUAUCAGGGUUUAUUAAAAAUAGUUUAUAAAUAUUAAUAUUCUCGAAUUUUUAAGAGCUAAUAAUUUAUAUAUUUAAUUGUAACAUAAAUUUUUAUAAUAAGUUAUUAGAAAUGAAACGUUAGUCGUUUAAUAAGAUAUCUAGUUUUUUAAGAAAUAAAUUUAAUUUAUUUAUUUAAAUAUAUAUAUUUUAUUUAUUAAAAUUAUUUUUUAAAUAUGUAAUAUUUUAAGGGAUAAGCUUUAAAAUAAAUAGUUAUAAAUUAUUUAUAGCAUAUAAAAAUAAUAGAAUUAGAAGUUUUUAUUUUUAGUGUAUUUUAACUAAUUUUUUUUAUAUAUAUAAUUUAUAUUAAUUUUAAGUUUUAUAUUAAAAUUAUUUAUUUAAUAUUAUAAUAUAUGCAAUAAUGAUAAAAUUAGUAUAAUAAAUUUUAUUUUUAUUUUUAUAAAUUUAGGUUAUAUUAAGGAAUUCGGCAAAUAUAAUUUUUCGCCUGUUUAUUAAAAACAUGUCUUUUUGAUUAUAAUUUAAAGUCUAGCCUGCCCACUGAGGAGUUAAAUGGCCGCGGUAUUUUGACCGUGCAAAGGUAGCAUAAUAAUUAGUUUUUUAAUUGAAAGCUAGAAUGAAUGGUUGAACGAAAAAAUGACUGUCUUAAUUUAAUUUAUAUUAGAAUUUUAUUUUUAAGUUAAAAAGCUUAAAUAUUAUUAAAAGACGAGAAGACCCUAUAGAGUUUUAUAUUUUAUAUUAUUAUUUUUAUUUAGUAUUAUUAUAUUAUAAUAUAAUAAAAUAUUUAGUUGGGGUGACAGAAAAAUUUAAAGAACUUUUUUUUAUAUUUAUAUUCAUUAAUUUAUGUUUAAAUGAUCCAUUUUUUAUGAUUAAAAGAUUAAAUUACCUUAGGGAUAACAGCGUAAUUAUUUUUAAGAGUUCUUAUCGAAAAAAUAGUUUGCGACCUCGAUGUUGGAUUAAAGUUUACUUUUGGUGUAGGGGCUAAAAUGUUAGGUCUGUUCGACCUUUAAAAUUUUACAUGAUCUGAGUUCAAACCGGAGA